GCCUGGGUGCCCGUGGGCCCUGCCUGUGGCCAUGGGCGUGGGCAGGUCUCUCUGGUCUGCUGAUUCCUAGGCCGGGUCCUCGAGUCAGGCACGGGCAGCGCUCCCAGAUCACACCUGCUUCCCUCUGAAGUGUGCGCUCUGUUAGAAUCACAGCCAUACCCGUGUCAAGGUCAGGUCCUCCACUGGCCCCUUUGGCCUGAGGGACACACACAGGCUGGUUCUGGGUAGGGGUAGAGAGUGGCUGGCUUCCUCCACGUGCCUGCACGGAGCAGCCGCGUUCUGCAGGAAGUGCUGGUCACUGGUUGCUCUGGAUGGAGAGAACCGUGUCCAAAGAGGGGCUGGUGUCACCAGAGUCACCUUGCCUGACCCGAAGACAGCUAGUAACAGCCAUCCGGCCGUCCUGCUCACUCUGCUGUGGAGUUGGCCACCAGGAAGAUGCCCUGAGAGGAGCCUGCGGAGUGCUGCUGGGGCUGCCCCCGCGCCUCCUGGGCAAACUGGCAAGUGGACCGGUGCCCGGCUGCCCCACAGAUGGGGAGCUCCAGUGUCACCCGAAGGGAGAGUGACAGCAGCGUCAGUGGUCAGGUGUCCACACACACACCUUGGCAGGAGGUGCUGAGCGUAGGUGCCUGCAGCCCCAGUGCUCGAAGGCCAGGAGUUCUGGGUGGCUAGGGCCACACAGGGGCCCGACAACAAGCAGGGCAUCUGGAGGGCAAGCGGG
rnacentral:lncRNA from 1 species